rnacentral:tRNA from 1 species
GCGAAGUACGGACGUUCCGGCUUUCUGCCCUCCGAAGGCAGGGGUUGCUGGUUCGAUCCCAGCCGGGCGCGCCA